rnacentral:misc_RNA from 1 species
GAAAUGCGAUAAGUAAUGUGAAUAGCAGAAUUCCGUGAAUCAUCGAAUCUUUGAACGCACAUUGCGCCCUCUGGUAUUCCGGGGGGCAUGCCUGUCCGAGCGUCAUUGCGAACCCCUCAAGCACGGCUUGUGUGAUGGGCCCUCCCGCGUCUUGGUCGUCAAGACGGGCCCGAAAAGCAGUGGCGGCUUCGCGGUUAUCCGAUCAGCCAGAGCGUAUGGGGACUUUCUCUCUGUCACACGCCCGCGGCGCGGACCGACGCCUGUCGACCUGUAUUCAUCUUUUUCUCGGUUGACCUCGGAUCAGGUAGGGAUACCUGCUGAACUUAAGC